UACGUAGGUGGCAAGCGUUGUCCGGAUUUAUUGGGUUUAAAGGGUGCGUAGGCGGUAAUUUAAGUCAGUGGUGAAAUACGGCAGCUUAACUGUCGAGGUGCCAUUGAUACUGGAUUACUUGAGUACUGAUGAGGUAGGCGGAAUGGACGGUGUAGCGGUGAAACGCUUAGAGAUCGUCCAGAACACCGAUAGCGAAGGCAGCUUACUAAGGAGUAACUGACGCUGAGGCACGAAAGUGUGGGGAUCAAACAGG
rnacentral:rRNA from 1 species